GAUACCCCUGUAGUCCUGGCCGUAAACGAUGAACACUAGGUGUCGGGGGAAUCGACCCCCUCGGUGUCGUAGCCAACGCGUUAAGUGUUCCGCCUGGGGAGUACGCACGCAAGUGUGAAACUCAAAGGAAUUGACGGGGGCCCGCACAAGCGGUGGAGUAUGUGGUUUAAUUCGAUGCAACGCGAAGAACCUUACCAGGGUUUGACAUCCUGCGAAUCCCUUGGAAACUUGGGAGUGCCUUCGGGAGCGCAGUGACAGGUGGUGCAUGGCUGUCGUCAGCUCGUGUCGUGAGAUGUUGGGUUAAGUCCCGCAACGAGCGCAACCCACGUCUUUAGUUGCCAGCAUUUAGUUGGGCACUCUAGAGAGACUGCCGGUGAUAAACCGGAGGAAGGCGUGGAUGACGUCAAGUCAUCAUGCCCCUUACAUCCUGGGCUACACACGUACUACAAUGCUACGGACAAAGGGCAGCAAACUCGCGAGAGCUAGCAAAUCCCAUAAACCGUGGCUCAGUUCAGAUCGUAGGCUGCAACUCGCCUACGUGAAGGAGGAAUCGCUAGUAAUCGCAGGUCAGCAUACUGCGGUGAAUACGUUCCCGGGCCUUGUACACACCGCCCGUCACACCAUGGAAGUUGGCCACGCCCGAAGUCGUUACUCCAACCCUUGUGGAGGAGGAUGCCGAAGGUGGGGCUGAUGACUGGGGUGAAGUCGUAACAAGGUAGCCGUACCGGAAGGUGC
rnacentral:rRNA from 1 species